rnacentral:lncRNA from 1 species
CCGCCUUCGCGAAUUGCCAUCCUCUGGCCAUGCGCCACGGCAGUGGCACCGGCACCGGCGUGUUCCUGCCGCGCCCGGAGGCAUACCUGCAAAAUAGUGCACCCUCCGCAUCCCCCAUCCCCAGGAACGGUAAGAAUUGUUAAUCGUCGCGUUGUGUGCCUUUCCGGCGACGGCGGCAGCGUCAGCCUGAACAAACGUGCAAAUGCAUUGCAGGUGCGAAGCCGCCGCGGAUGCUGAGAAAGGAGGCUGUCAUUUUCGCGAUGCGGCAGCAGCAGCAGCUGAUGCAACUGCGGGCGAUGGCGGCGGAGAUGGAGCGGCAGAGGGAAGCGUUCGCCGCGGCGUUCCAAGGCUGCCCUGCGCUCGCGGCGCCACGGCAAUGGACGUACUGACUGAUACAGUAGAUUGUUGACAGUUGGUCGUAUGCACAGAAUAAAACUGGGUGGCUACGAUGAUAAAUUCGUUUCGCUUUGGGGAUAUUAUAGCAGUGCACAUCGGUUGGUCCUGCUUUUUAAAUAGAGUGGAGUUGUACUUGCUUUUAUGUUUUUUGUUUUGGAGCAAGUCAUGCAUGGUGUAAAAUUGAGGUCGCUAGAAUUGAAUUUAAGCUGUUUGUCAUACUACGGAGAGCUGUAUGAAAACAGACGAAAUCAUACUCGGUGUGGUCUCCACUGACGGGGCUUUGAUACGAAUUGAAGGAUAUUGUUAGUGGGCCGACGUAAUAUCGAAUCCAAGAGUGCCAUAUGUGGC